rnacentral:rRNA from 1 species
CUACGGGAGGCAGCAGUGGGGAAUCUUGCGCAAUGGGGGAAACCCUGACGCARSMACGCCGCGUGGGKAGAUGAAGGCCUUCGGGUCGUAAAGCCYKKUCAGGUGGGAAGAAACUUGUGGAUGUUAAUACCAUCCACACUUGACGGUACCAUCGGAGGAAGCACCGGCUAACUCCGUGCCAGCAGCCGCGGUAAU